rnacentral:rRNA from 13 species
GACCUCGGAUCAGGUAGGGAUACCCGCUGAACUUAAGCAUAUCAAUA